GGCAACAGCUCAAAUUUGAAAUCUGGCUCCCUUGGGGGUCCGAGUUGUAAUUUGCAGAGGAUGCCUCGGGUGCGGGUUCCUUCCGAGUUCCCUGGAACGGGACGCCAUAGAGGGUGAGAGCCCCGUCUGGUCGGAAACCCAGCCCGUGUGAGGCUCCCUCGACGAGUCGAGUAGUUUGGGAAUGCUGCUCUAAGGGGAGGUAUACUCCUUCCAAGGCUAAAUACCGGCUAGAGACCGAUAGCGCACAAGUAGAGUGAUCGAAAGAUGAAAAGCACUUUGAAAAGAGAGUCAAACAGCACGUGAAAUUGUUGAAAGGGAAGCGCUUCCUACCAGACUUGGGUUCGGCGGUUCACCCGGCGCCACGCGCCGGGGCACUCCGCCGGCCCAGGCCAGCAUCAGCUUUCCGUCGGGGGCAAAGACGUUGGGAAUGUAGCUCCCCUCCGGGGGAGUGUUAUAGCCCGGCGUGUCAUACCUUCGGGAGGCUGAGGUACGCGCUCCGCAAGG
rnacentral:rRNA from 1 species